UAACACAUGACCAGCCGUGUGGAAUUUUAUGGUAUUAGCUUGAGGUUAUUCGAGUUCCUGAAUUUCAGGAACCUUAUCACUACACAAGUCAUGGGCCAGUUUAGGACUUAUCCUUAUUGCUUAGAUGUUUGGACAGGUUGGGAAAUUUGAUAAGAUUUAAUUCCCUUAUUUAUAUUAGUUUCUUUUCAGUUAAGGACUCCAUCUCAGCCUACACAAGGAGAUUUCCUCAUUUAUUUGGUUUCCUUUUUAGAUCCAGUAACUUUAGUUGCUUAGUUUCUUUGGUUAGAAUAGGAUACUUCCUAACACGGCCUGUGAAUGGAAAUAAGUUUCCUAAUCAAUUAUGUUGUUA